UACGGAGGGUGCAAGCGUUAUCCGGAAUCACUGGGUUUAAAGGGUGCGUAGGCGGUCCGUUAAGUCAGUUGUGAAAUUCCCUCGCUUAACGAGUGGGACUGCGAUUGAUACUGACAGACUUGAAUCAGGUUGAGGUAGGCGGAAUGAGACAUGUAGCGGUGAAAUGCUUAGAUAUGUCUUAGAACACCGAUUGCGAAGGCAGCUUGCUGGACCUGUAUUGACGCUGAGGCACGAAAGCGUGGGGAGCAAACAGG
rnacentral:rRNA from 1 species